AGAUGAAGAAUGCACUCUGCUUACUGCUGCUCUCAUUCAGCCUACAACGCAUAAAAUGUCAAAGUAUGGAGUCCACUGAAAGCACAGUUCAGAAAAAGCCUGGAGAAACUCUGACUCUGUCCUGUAGAGGAUCCGGGUUCAGCUUUGGCUGCUGUAGCAUGCACUGGAUCAGACAACAAGCUGGAAAACCACUUGUGUGGAUGGGACGUGUUAAUAGUGACAGCAGUGGCUAUGACUACUCUGAAUCCUUCAAAAGUCGAACUGAAAUCACCAGAGAUAAUUCAAAGAGUAUGGUGUAUCUGAAACUAUCAGGCCUGACAGCAGACGACUCAGCCGUGUAUUAUUGUGCAAAGCAAGCACAGUGA